rnacentral:rRNA from 1 species
GACGAACGCUGGCGGCGUGCUUAACACAUGCAAGUCGAACGGAAAGGCCCUGCUUUUGUGGGGUGCUCGAGUGGCGAACGGGUGAGUAACACGUGAGUAACCUGCCCUUGACUUUGGGAUAACUUCAGGAAACUGGGGCUAAUACCGGAUAGGAGCUCCUGCUGCAUGGUGGGGGUUGGAAAGUUUCGGCGGUUGGGGAUGGACUCGCGGCUUAUCAGCUUGUUGGUGGGGUAGUGGCUUACCAAGGCUUUGACGGGUAGCCGGCCUGAGAGGGUGACCGGCCACAUUGGGACUGAGAUCCGGCCGAGCCUCCUACGGGAGGCAGCAGUGGGGAAUAUUGCACAAUGGGCGGAAGCCUGAUGCAGCAACGCCGCGUGCGGGAUGACGGCCUUCGGGUUGUAAACCGCUUUCGCCUGUGACGAAGCGUGAGUGACGGUAAGGGGUAAAGAAGCACCGGCUAACUACG